GGACUACUGGGGUAUCUAAUCCUGUUUGAUCCCCACGCUUUCGUGCCUCAGUGUCAAUAUUUGCGUAGUGAGCUGCCUUCGCAAUAGAUGUUCUAUGUCAUAUCUAAGCAUUUCACCGCUACAUGACAUAUUCCGCUCACCUCCACAACAUUCAAGACAGAUAGUAUCAAUGGCAGUUCUCGAGUUAAGCUCAAGGAUUUCACCACUGACUUACCUGCCCACCUACGCACCCUUUAAACCCAGUGAAUCCGGAUAACGCUUGCACCCUCCGUAUUACCGCGGCUGCUGGCAC
rnacentral:rRNA from 2 species